rnacentral:rRNA from 1 species
AACGUAGGAGACAAACGUUAUCCGGAGUUACUGGGCGUAAAGGGCGUGUAGGUGGUUUCGUAAGUCUGGCGUGAAAUAUCUCGGCUUAACCGAGGCAGGUCGUCGGAUACUGCGGGACUAGAGGACGGUAGAGGCGUGUGGAAUUCCGGGUGUAGUGGUGAAAUGCGUAGAGAUCAUGAGGAAGACCAGUGGCGAAGGCGGGUCUCUGGACAGUUCCUGACACUGAGGCACGAAGGCCAGGGGAGCAAACGGG